UCGAGUGAAAGUCAAUGAAUGGGAGUUUACAACAUGUUCUAUGGAAAACCGGACAAUUAUGAAAAGAGAUACUCGUAGUAAUUUUAAUGAAUAUUAAGUAAGAAAAAAAUUCAUACAAAAAAACUCAAAUAAAUAAAAUACACUACAUAUUUUUACUCAACGAAAAUAAUUCCUGUAAAAUUCAUAAACAUUAUAUCAAGCAAGAA
rnacentral:lncRNA from 1 species